CCUACAGGGGGCUGCAGUGGGGAAUAUUGGACAAUGGGGGGAACCCUGAUCCAGCCAUGCCGCGUGUGUGAAGAAGGCCCUCGGGUUGUAAAGCACUUUCAGUGAGGAAGAACGCCUGGUGGUUAAUACCCAUCAGGAAAGACAUCACUCACAGAAGAAGCACCGGCUAACUCCGUGCCAGCAGCCGCGGUAAUACGGAGGGUGCGAGCGUUAAUCGGAAUUACUGGGCGUAAAGCGCGCGUAGGUGGCUUGAUAAGCCGGUUGUGAAAGCCCCGGGCUCAACCUGGGAACGGCAUCCGGAACUGUCAAGCUAGAGUGCAGGAGAGGAAGGUAGAAUUCCCGGUGUAGCGGUGAAAUGCGUAGAGAUCGGGAGGAAUACCAGUGGCGAAGGCGGCCUUCUGGACUGACACUGACACUGAGGUGCGAAAGCGUGGGUAGCAAACAGGAUUAGAUACCCCAGUAGUC
rnacentral:rRNA from 1 species